rnacentral:rRNA from 1 species
GUAGACCUCAAGCGUUAUCCGGAUUUAUUGGGCGUAAAGCGCGUGUAGGGGGUUUGGUGCGUCUUUGGUUAAAGCCCGUCGCUCAACGACGGAAAUGCCCGAGAUACGGCCAAACUAGAGGGGGUUAGAGGUAAGCGGAACGCACGGUGUAGGGGUGAAAUCCGUUGAUAUCGUGCGGAACACCAAAGGCGAAGGCAGCUUACUGGGACCUUCCUGACCCUGAGACGCGAAAGCGUGGGGAGCAAAAAGGAUUAGAUACCCUUGUAGUCCACGCCCUAAACGAUGCAGAUUUGCUGUUUCGAGUAUCGACCCUCGGAGUGGCGUAGCUAACGCGUUAAAUCUGCCGCCUGGGAAGUACGAGCGCAAGCUUA